GCCAAGUAAUCCGGCUGUGCUGGUACAGAUAAAUAAAAACCGGCUGAUUGGCCGGUUUUUU
rnacentral:sRNA from 1 species